rnacentral:lncRNA from 1 species
UUAUAAUUUUCUUGCUUGCUUAGCAAUCAACAUCAAGUCCACUGACAAGUCCAAAGCAAGCACAGGAAAUGCCGUCCUGCAGAGGUAAAGGUUAAGGCCAACAUUUCCGAGAACUGAGACAGGAGUGUGCAGAAGAGAAGAGCCCCAAUCCAAUCACUCAGUCUUCCUUGUAGCUGUUCCCAUGUUCUAAGCGUGAGUUCGAUGUCCUGUCUGCCGCCAAGGAUUUUUUAAAUUAUAAGGGUAUUUCAUUUGAAGGCACCAUAUGACCUUUCACUCCCAUGUACUGAAUCUAAUUCCCAGACUGGAAGCUUCCCCAUUUCUGCCAUAAAAAGUGAACAGGUUACUCCUGGCUGCUUAAAUUUCAUGCCUGAAAUAUCCCGGAUAAGCUGCUUGGAACGAGCCAAACAUUACAAUGAAAAUGGGAUCUGGCAUCCUUUCCUGAUUAAUGGCAGGGCUGGAUUCUGUCAGUGUUCAACGACAUGAAAUUCCAAGGCCUGGAACCAAAUGUCCAUGCUUUCCAGUAAGUACAGUUGACCCUUGCACAACACGAAUUUGAACUACGUGGUCCACUUAUACACAGAUUUUCUUCUGCCUCUGCCAACCCUGAGACAGCAAACUUUCCUCCUCCUCCUCCUCAGCCUACUCAACAUGAAGACAAUGAGGAUGGAGAACUUUAUGAUGAUCCACUUCCACCUAAUGAACAGUAAAUAUAUUUUCUUUCAUGAUUUUCUUAAUAACAUUUUCCUUUCUCUAGCUUACCUACUGUAAGAAUACAAUAUGUAAUAUGGAUAAUAUACAAAAUAUGUCUUAAUCAACUGUUUACAUUUUCCGUAAGGUUUCCGGUCAAGAGUAGGCUAUAAGUAGUUAUGUUUUGGGGGAGUCAAAAGUUAUACACAGAUGUUUGACUGUGAGGGGUGGGGGUGCCUCUAACGCCUAUGUUGUUCAACUUUAUAUAAGUC